rnacentral:snRNA from 1 species
UGCUGACUUUGGCAGCACAUAUACUAAAAUUGAAA